GGUGGAGAGGCCACUGGGAAGACUACAUAGCUCCAUUCUAUUGCUUCUCAGUUAGAAAGAAAAUACUUAGUUCCUGUCAGAUCUCCCCUGAGGUGCUCAUUACCAGGCAAAGAUCCACAUUGCUUAGUACCACAAUAUUUUCAAGACUGUAGAAGAAGGAAUCAAUACCGUACUCUUUAGGAGUAUUCAUUUUACAGGUUGGGAACUUUACUUAUUUUACAGAAGUUCAGAAAUGAAGUUUAAAAAAAAUCAGACAUCUUUAUGUGGGAAGCUGUGCUUCAGCUUAAUCCAGCCCCUUGAGACCAGUGAGGAAUCCUGUUGCAAGGAAGAUUUACCCCCAGUGGAAGAGGAUCAUGUCAGGAAACACUUAAACAGAGUCCAGAGUACCUAUCAGGAUGCACUCAUGAGACCUGAGGAAGCUGGCCACUGUCAUUUGCAAGAUUAAACUCAGUUAUCUUCGAAAGGUUGGAAAAGCUACAGACUGGUCAGCAUCAGCUGAGACUAGCUCAGCUGCUCAGAGCAUGGUGCUGAUAACACCAAGGUUGUGGGUUCCAUCCCUAUGUGGGCCAUUCUCUUCAGAGCUGGACUUGAUCCUGGUGGGGGAAGGUUAGAGUGGAAAUCUUCCUGGAAGCCAUUUCCAAAUGUAUAAAAGUCGAAAAGGAAAUUUGGAUUAGACAGCAUGAGUUUAUUAAGUUUUCUGCUUAACCAAUCCAACAGCUUUCUAUUGUAUAGUGACCAGGUCCGUAGGCAAGGGCUGACACGUAGCUGACAUCAUUUAUUUUGAUUUUAUUGAGGCUUUCAGCAUUGUCCUCUAUAACGUUCUUACAAGCAAAAAGACGAAGUACAGAGUAGAAAAAUGGACAGAGAUGGACUGAAUCAGAUAAGAAAAACAAAGCCAAAUACCAAAGUAUGUAAGACAGAAAAGCAGGCCUAGAAACAAGGAAACUAUUAUUGAACUGUCAGGCUCAAAGGCUGUCAAUCAACAGAAUAAAGUCCAGCUGGAGACCACUCACUAGAGGUGUAGCCCAGGGAUUUGUAGCACAGGAAUUCUGUCUGAGUGGACACUAAGCUGCCCAAGAGACACCAAUGUACCCUUGCAUCAAAAUUUGACAGACUCUGAUUUCAUUAAGAGAAAUCUUUCCAGUAGGAUGAAGGAAAUUAUGAUUCCUCUCCACUUUGCCUGGGUGAGACUUAUCUGAAAUGCUAGGCCCAGUUUUGAGCUUCCCAGAGAAAGAAAGACAUGUUGUGAGUCCAGGAAAAGGUUACAAAAAUUUAGAUACUGGAGAUUCUGUCACAAAACAAAACAGAGAGAUGGCUCUGUUCAGCCUGAAGUUGAAAAGACUCAGGGGGAUUAUGUCAAUGUAAAAAAAUACCUGACCAGAAGAGGAUGAGACUAUUAGUGGUGCCCUGUGCCAAGAAAAGAGGCAAUAGCCACUAAUAGAAAUAAAGUUACUUCCCUUUAAACAUUAUAAAAAUGUAUUCUGUAAAUCAAAUUAGAAUAUGUUUACUGAAAACGAGGUCAUAUUCAGGUUUUCCAGAGAGGUUUUAAAG